UACGUAGGUGGCGAGCGUUGUCCGGAUUUACUGGGCGUAAAGGGCGUGCAGGCGGUUUGUUAAGUGCAGGGUGAAAGCUCCCGGCUCAACUGGGAGAGGUCCUUGCAUACUGGCGAACUCGAGGGAGGCAGAGGAAAGUGGAAUUCCCGGUGUAGUGGUGAUAUGCGUAGAUAUCGGGAGGAACACCUGUGGCGAAGGCGGCUUCUGGGCCUUACCUGACGCUGAGACGCGAAAGCGUGGGGAGCGAACCGG
rnacentral:rRNA from 1 species